AUUGAACGCUGGCGGCAUGCCUUACACAUGCAAGUCGAACGGCAGCACGGGAGCAAUCCUGGUGGCGAGUGGCGAACGGGUGAGUAAUAUAUCGGAACGUGCCCGGUCGUGGGGAUAACGUAGCGAAAGCUACGCUAAUACCGCAUACGAUCUAUGGAUGAAAGCGGGGGGAUCGCAAGACCUCGCGCGAUUGGAGCGGCCGAUAUCAGAUUAGGUAGUUGGUGAGGUAAAGGCUCACCAAGCCGACGAUCUGUAGCUGGUCUGAGAGGACGACCAGCACACUGGGACUGAGACACGGCCCAGACUCCUACGGGAGGCAGCAGU
rnacentral:rRNA from 1 species